GAGUAGAACGCUAGCGGCAGGACUUAAUACAUCGACGAAGGCGGAGGGGGCAGCAAUGUCACCGUCGGUACGGGUGACGUAACGCGUAUGACAACCUACCUUACAACGUGGGGGAUACGGCCCGGGAAACCCGGAUUAAUACCGCAUAAUACAUUGAUAUCACCUGAUAUUAUUUGUUAAAGAUUUAUUGGUUGAAGAUGGGCAUGCGUUCGAUUAGCUAGUUGGUAUGGGUAACGGCCUACCAAGGCAACGAUCGAUAGGGGAGCUGAGAGGUUGAUCCCCCACACGGGCACUGAGAUACGGGCCCGACUCCUACGGGAGGCAGCAGUAGGGAAUAUUGGGCAAUGGAUGCAAGUCUGACCCAGCCAUGCCGCGUGCCGGAUGAAGGCCCUCAGGGUUGUAAACGGCUUUUAUUCGGGAAGAAGAGCAGGGAUGCGUCCUUGUGUGACGGUACCGAAUGAAUAAGCACCGGCUAACUCCGUG
rnacentral:rRNA from 1 species